rnacentral:lncRNA from 1 species
UGACUUUUGUUGACCAAAUGGAAGGAAAUUAGGUUUAACAAAGGUAGUGCAAUGAGUGCAGCACAGUCUGUAAGGGACAAAGGUGGAUAAUGGUGGAAACAUCCACCCAGCAUGAAUCACUGAAGCAGUCAUUAAUUACACACCAAGCAACUGCAUUUGAGUGAAAUUAAAAAAAACAUAUUGUGGUUAGUUUCAUGUAAUUCAUACAAUUGUGUUGAAUGAUUUGAGAAAAAUGAUAUCUUAAAAGGGGUUUUAUUCACUACUUAAUUACCUCUUGAAAGUUGAAACAAUCAAAUAGUUGGAUGAAUGAUAGCAAAUUGAAACAGAGGAAACUUCAAAGUUGCAGGUUUCGUUGGGGUUUUAGAUGAACGAACGGGGUUAG